rnacentral:rRNA from 1 species
CCAGUGAACAAUUAAACGGCCGCGGUACCCUAACCGUGCAAAGGUAGCAUAAUCAUUUGUCUACUAAUUAUAGACCUGCAUGAAAGGCAAAAUGAGGGUCUAACUGUCUCUUAUAAUGAAUCAAUUAAACUGAUCUCCUAGUAAAAAAGCUAGAAUCUCCACAUAAGACCAGAAGACCCUGUGAAGCUUAAACUAAACUAUUAAACCAUAUAAUAACCACUUUCGGUUGGGGCGACCUUGGAAAAAAAAAGAACUUCCAAAAACUAUGACUAUCCAUACUACCCAGGCCAACAAGCCAAUAAACGACCCAGCACAGCUGAUCACCGAACCAAGUUACUCCAGGGAUAACAGCGCAAUCCUCUUCAAGAGCCCAUAUCAAAAAGAGGGUUUACGACCUCGAUGUUGGAUCAGG